CCCCCAGUAGCUCAGUUGGUAGAGCGUCUGUUUGAAGCACAGAAGGUCAUUGGUUCAAUUCCAAUCUUGGAGGG
rnacentral:tRNA from 1 species